GGGGCAUAGCUCAGUUGGGAGAGCACCUGCCUUGCAAGCAGGGGGUCGAGAGUUCGAAUCUCUCUGUCUCC
rnacentral:tRNA from 1 species